rnacentral:ncRNA from 1 species
GAAGAACGUUCGGUGCUGUUUUUAGAAGACAGGUAAAAGGGAAACAGGUGCGAGACCUGUACGAACUCGUCACUGUGAGUGAAUACAUAGAUCAUGUGUUAGCACAGAAUCUGAGGUUGUGUUAGACAUCCACUGGGAGACUGGGAAGGAGAUUCUAUGUAAGAUUUACAAGUCAGGAAACCUGCCGAUCG